rnacentral:rRNA from 1 species
GAUGAACGCUGGCGGCAUGCCUAACACAUGCAAGUCGAACGAUAAGCCGCCUUCGGGUGGUGGACAGUGGCGCACGGGUGAGUAACACGUGGGGACCUGCCUGAUAGUAAGGGACAACAGUUUGAAAAGACUGCUAAUACCUUAUACGCCCUUUUGGGGAAAGAUUUAUCGCUAUCAGAUGGACCCGCGCUAGAUUAGAUAGUUGGUGAGGUAAUGGCUCACCAAGUCUACGAUCUAUAGCUGGUUUGAGAAGAUGAUCAGCCACAUUGGGACUGAGACACGGCCCAG